UGGGGAAUAUUGGACAAUGGGCGCAAGCCUGAUCCAGCAAUGCCGCGUGUGUGAAGAAGGCCUGCGGGUUGUAAAGCACUUUCAGUGGGGAAGAAAAGCCUACGGUUAAUAACCGUGAGUCUUGACGUAACCCACAGAAGAAGCACCGGCUAACUCCGUGCCAGCAGCCGCGGUAAUACGGAGGGUGCGAGCGUUAAUCGGAAUUACUGGGCGUAAAGCGCGCGUAGGCGGUUUGGUCAGUCGAAUGUGAAAGCCCAGGGCUUAACCUUGGAACUGCGUUCGAUACUGCCUGACUAGCGUAUGGUAGAGGGAAGUGGAAUUUCCGGAGUAGCGGUGAAAUGCGUAGCUAUCGGAAGGAACACCAGGGGCGAAGGCGACUUCCUGGGCCAAUACUGACGCUGAGGUGCGAAAGCGUGGGGAGCAACCAGGAUUAGAUACGCCUGUAGUCC
rnacentral:rRNA from 1 species